UCAAAAUGAAGAAACAAAAGCAUUUAGCAC
rnacentral:piRNA from 1 species